rnacentral:lncRNA from 1 species
CAACCUUCAGAGACUCAAGAACGAACCAUAACUGCUGCCCCAAAAUGCUCCACCAUCAUCCGCCGGCGGCGGCACCUUCAAUCACUCCCAAACUAAUACCCUGAAACCCCCAUGACCCCCUCAUACUGAAUCCACAACUCUUUUCCCUCGAAUCUUCCUUGAACUCCUCAAAUUUUAAAUCAAAGAGAUGAACCCUAAAAUACCCAAAGUCCCUGAUUCGAGGUUUUCUUUAAGAUUUAGGUCUAUUCCAACUUUAUUUGUGUAUUCUUGGUAAGACCACACAAUUAAGAUCGAAUUGGGCCAAAUAUUGGAAGGUUUUGAAGAUCCGACAUCCGUUUCUUAUUGGUCCGAGUUUGUUUUAGGUAUUCUUUCUCUUCUUUGCCUUUUGAUAUUUAAUUUCCGUUUCUUUGUUAUUUUCUCAUCUUCUCCUACUCUUUCUGUUAGUUUUCUGAUUUUACUUCCUAUUUUCUUUCAUUCCUUCACACUGUUCUAUAUUUGCAUGCUAAUUUUAGGUGGUGUUUUAGUUAUUAUUUGUGUUCUGGUGCUAAGCUUAGAGGUAUUAGAUUUUGUUUCUGUCUGGGUUCCAAGUUUUUCGAGUCUUGAGACUAUGUAAUUGAAUAUAUAUAGAUGUUUUCGAGUUUUCAGUCUUGAUUUGAUUUGAGAAGUCAAAGGACCCAAUAGAGAGUUGAAUUGGAUUUUCAACAGACCCAUCAACACUUCGAAUCGGGUCAACUUGACCCAUAUUUCUACCUGGACCAAGGGUAACUUUCAGCGUCUUGUGGGAUAAUUUAGGAAUUCUCGGGGUAAGGGAAUCUCAGUAACUAAUGUGGAAUAUUGUUUCUAAACUAAGGGCUCCUAAGCUAAAAUGAAAAUUUCAGAAGGUUCUAAGGGCAACAUUUAUUUCUUUGAGGCUGCCCUAGAACCUUGCCUAUAAAGGUUCCCUAACUUGAUAUUCAAUGCAGAAAUCAGAGAAGUAAAAAUCCAAAAAGAAAAAAAAAUAGAACGGCUGAAAAUUCUGAACUACACUAAUUUUCCAGGAUUUCCUUCAAUGAAAAUUGGUCAAAAUUUUAUCUAGCUUGGAUUUUCUGGUUCUUUCCCAUUAGUUUGAACCUCUGAAAGUUUCAUAUCUUGCACAUUUUGGGGUUGAAAUGGAUUGAAGUUGGGUUUUGAAAAUUCUGGUUUACGUUUUGUUGCUUGGUUAUUGUUUCAUUGAUUCUGGGCACUGUUUCAUUGCUUAUCUGCUGCUGCUCAUCUAAUGAUUUUUCACUCCUUUUGUUUCCCUUCAAUUUUCAGGUAUUCCUGUAAACCAUGGAUAGCAAACGAUUGUAAACAUGCAAAUUUGAGUGGAAAUUUGACUAAAUGCAAAUCAUUUUGAGAUUUGAUUAUUAGUUUUCUUCUAUGUUUAUGUGUCAUUUCUGUAGUGAUUCUAAAGUUAUAUGUUCUAUCUUCAGUUUUCUUUCACCAUGUUUAAUAUCAGUAUUGUUUCAAC